GCCUUUGUAACACAAGCUUGUAACCCGAGUGGGGGCUUUGAGGUGCUUGAACAUUGGCCAAGAAUUAGCGAGCUGGCUAUCUACUGGCCUGCCCAUUCCAAGCAAGGAGUCGGGUCAUGUGUCUUGGGCGAAGGCUCUGGUCACAUGGUCCUUAGACAGGAGCUGGUUUCCGUCUCCGUCAAACAGGCUUAUAGCAAAACAGGGGGGCUGCCUUCCUCCUCCAUCUAACCCUCA
rnacentral:sRNA from 1 species